rnacentral:rRNA from 1 species
UGGGGAUUUUGGACANUGGGCGCAAGCCUGAUCCAGCCAUGCCGCGUGUCUGAAGAAGGCCUUCGGGUUGUAAAGGACUUUUGUCAGGGAAGAAAAGGCUGUUGCUAAUAUCGACAGCUGAUGACGGUACCUGAAGAAUAAGCACCGGCUAACUACGUGCCAGCAGCCGCGGUAAUACGUAGGGUGCGAGCGUUAAUCGGAAUUACUGGGCGUAAAGCGAGCGCAGACGGUUACUUAAGCAGGAUGUGAAAUCCCCGGGCUCAACCUGGGAACUGCGUUCUGAACUGGGUGACUAGAGUGUGUCAGAGGGAGGUAGAAUUCCACGUGUAGCAGUGAAAUGCGNAGAGAUGUGGAGGAAUACCGAUGGCGAAGGCAGCCUCCUGGGAUAACACUGACGUUCAUGCUCGAAAGCGUGGGUAGCAAACAGGAUUAGAUACCCUGGUAGUCCACGCCCUAAACGAUGUCAAUUAGCUGUUGGGCAACUUGAUUGCUUAGUAGCGUAGCUAACGCGUGAAAUUGACCGCCUGGGGAGUACGGUCGCAAAGAUUAA